rnacentral:misc_RNA from 1 species
UAAUAAUAAUAAUAAUAAUAGAAGCAAUAAGUCCAAAGGCUAUGCAUAAAAAGACAAUAUAUAAACUGAAAAUAUUUAGAUUAGCUUGCCUCUGAAUAGCAAAUAUUCAUCAACCGAGAUACAUUUGUUGCUCCAGGGAAUGUAGUCCAAUCAGGUGCACCAAGAACACAGCAUAUCUUGUACAAUUGAUCUAUUUCACUGCCAUUGGAAAUUCAUUUCAUAAGAAAUGAAAUUCAAUUAGUUCUGACAGAAUUUUAGAGACAUAUAUACCAAAGUGUUGUUCCACACAUAUGAGCAGACCAACCAAUAAAUUUACAAGCAAAAAAAGAAAUUUUCUCAAAGCAUGACCAUAAAGGUUAUACAAAAUUACUUUAUUGGCAUUCUAAGUCUAUCUCUUCAUCAAUAAUGUAAAUCCAUCAAUAUAAUGAGGCAUAAUUUUUAUCCAUGAGUAAGGUUAAAAGACUCCUCGUCUUUGCACAUGAUAGAAAGAAUAGAAUGGCGUAACAAACUUAAUGCUAAUUUCCUUAGUGCCAAGAAGAAUGAUGAUGUUUCCAAGCUGUUGUAAUUUACAAUAGAAAUGCAUUUACUAUUGAUGUCUUCUUGUUUGGUCAAGUUAAAUGCACAAACAAAUUUUAGAGCAUUAUAAGCAGAUGAAUGAUUUAACAUGAAGCUAGUUCAGUGACCUCAGACCUGCUUACUUGGGGGCAGAAAAAAAAUAUCAAGUUCCAGCAAAUAACUACCUAAAAACUAGCCAUAAAGAAAUCUUCCUAGACAUGAAGUCCCAUGUAACUAUAACAUAAUUAAUUAACUGACUGUGAGGUGUUGGAGUUGAGGCCAGAGGGUAAAGGGAAGAAUGGACCUGUGCAAGCACAAUUCUAUAUACAUCUGCGUCUUUCAUAUCAAGGACACACAACAAAGUAUAACAGUUAAAUCACCUUUCACCAGGGAAAAUAGGGGACAAAGUGAAUAGCUCAGCUAAUAUUGUUCCAACUGCCCACAUGUCUGCAUAUAUUUUUCAGUUUCCAUUGUUAGAAAUCAAUCAAUGAAGAACAAAAACCUGCAGUGGAUAGUUAUAAAAUUGCUGUAUAGAAAAGGGUGGCAGUGCAGAUUAAUUAAAACCAAUAUUCUUGCACCUUGCAGGAAUGAGAAGCAUCACUACACAGAUUCAUUUAGCUCGUAUGUGACUCCUAAUUUUAUAAUUCCACUAGAAAACAUAAAUGUAAGUUUUUUGCCUUUUUCAGUUUGGUUAUUACUUGAAUAUCAGUUCGGUUCAGUCUGAAUUUUAAGUUCAUUCAGUUUUUCUUAGUUGGUUUGGUUCCAAAUAAUCUCCCUUAUAUAUAGUAUUUCAGAAAACAGGAUCUAUCAUAUCUUUUAACAAAAGAAAGCAAAAUUUUAUAGUAUUGCUCAGAAUCAUACUUAAGUCGACUCAUUAAUGAAUGCAAACCUUUCAAGCACAUGUAAGAUACCCUCUGGCCAUUCAAAAACAUUUAAUAAAUGCAUUGCCGUUUAAUUUCCUAGUAAGAGCAUUCUGGCAGUGACCAUGACUGGUUAUCACAUCUUGCAUCCCCUGAAAUGAAAUUCUAUUAUUUUAUUUAUUUAUCCCUGGUAAAUGAAGGGGGGUGUAGUUUGAACUUCCACUCUGAUAACUGACAAGUGAGACUCAAAUUGGAAGGCCAUGUUCUGUCGACUUGGGCCAGAGAGAAAACAAACCAACCUAUAAGAAUAAAGGGGGAAAGAUUUUGGGAAAUGGAUGGGGAAAAGAAUGUACCAAUUGCAGGACUGUAUGUUGAGGACUGCAACAAAACUUCAGGAGCCCGGUACCACCGUGUGGAAACAUAUUCAGUAUAAGGAGGUGCUGAUGAAACUUCUCUAGCCAGUCCAAAGUCAGCAAUUUUAAGAACAUCAUUUGUCACCAGCAAAUUCUCUGGUUUUAGAUCUCUAUGGAAAUAUCCAUUCCUGUGCAUGUGAGCAAGUCCUUGCAGCACCUGAGACAUAAAGCUUCGAAUCUCUUCCUCAGUAAAAGGUCUUUCUCGUUCUCUCAUGAUUUGGUAUAGGUUAUAUUCCAUGUAUUCAAAAAUGAAGAAUAGCUCAUUGUUUUCCCUGACAACUUCCUUCAACUUUAUGAUAUUGGGAUGAUUCAGUUUACGAAGGGCUUUUACUUCUCUCAAGUUCAUGCACUCUUCCCAGAAAUAGAACUUUCUCUUCAUUUUCUUCACAGCAACAAUUUCGUAUUUUUCCAUAUUGAUAGCCUUAAAUACACUACCACAAGUACCAUCACCAAGCUCUUCCAAAAUUUUAUAUCUUUCCAUUAUUAGAAUUGUAUAAGAUGACAAUAAAAAAUUUGUCAAUGGACUUCUAAGAACCUCCUGAUAGAGGUGCCUACUCUGUCAACAGAGUGUGAGUUACUAGCUUGCUUAUAUGGUUUAGUGCUAAACUGUAGCUUGUUAUAUACAGCAUUGACAGGAACCCGAUUCUCAUCAUAGGUAUGAAUAUGAUUGAAGAGCAGCCAAAAUAUUAUCAACAUACUUAAGUGCAGCUUCUACAAGCUGCAACCAGCUCGUAUCAUCUAAAACAACCAAUCUCUAGUAAACCUCUGUACAAGAAGUGCCAAGUUAGCUUGUCAGUCUGUCUCUUUAAAUUUUCUUCCAAUAAUGCCCAUCUGUCAAAAACUUGUGCUGAGCUGCAAAAAAAGGAGGGGUAAAACACAAACGUAAAACAAUUCUACCAAACUGAAGCUUUCAAACAAAAAACUGAUAAUGAAAUGAGCAAUACAAUUAAUAACCAAGUAAAUGGAUCCAACAUUUUCCCAACUUAUUGAUUGCUAAUGAACUCAUAUUACAAAAUGUGGAAAAUCCACCUCAUAUCAUGAAGCCUAUUAAAAAUAGAAAAGAAAAAUGCAUUAACAUAGCUGCUAUUAUAUCAAAGUUAAAAAAAAAAAUACCAGAAAGUCCAAUUAAAAGACCAAAAGCAAAUUUCCUUGUUAAUUUUACAUGUCUCAUUAUCAGAAAAAGUUCAAAAUUAUAGAUCCAAGAUAUUAAAUCUGGUUACUUAACAAGGGCAGUCCUUAAUAUUUCAAGAUGGAGUACCUGUGCGCUUACACAAUCUAUAAAAAAUUUUGACUAUUAUGUACGGACCAUCAAAAUAAUAAUGAAACUUGUCAAAAUCCUCAAUGGUAAAUUGUUCUUCUGAUUGAAACGAUAAACAAGUAAUUACACAUCCAAAAGCAUGGUUAAAAAAAUACAAAGAAAGAAAAACACAAUUAAAUACACAGACGCAAAGUAAUCAUCUAAUAAACACCUUGAAAGGUUUUUUUUUUUUCUGUUGAUUGCUGAUAAAAAAAUUGCAGAAAAUUCCCCAAAAAAUAAAAUAUAUCUUGAAGCAUAAGCAACCAACCAAGCCUCUUGAACUAAACAUAAUUGAGUAAUUAAACUCAACAAAUUAAACUAUUUCUUUUCAAUGAAUCAAUAGAAC